AGCGAACGCUGGCGGCAGGCUUAACACAUGCAAGUCGAGCGCCCCGCAAGGGGAGCGGCAGACGGGAGAGUAACACGUGGGAACGUGCCUUUUGGUUCGGAACAACCCAGGGAAACUUGGGCUAAUACCGGAUAAGCCCUUACGGGGAAAGAUUUAUCGCCAAAAGAUCGGCCCGCGUCUGAUUAGCUAGUUGGUGAGGUAAUGGCUCACCAAGGCUACGAUCAGUAGCUGGUCUGAGAGGAUGAUCAGCCUCACUGGGACUGAGACACGGCCCAGACUCCUACGGGAGGCAGCAGUGGGGAAUAUUGGACAAUGGGCGCGAGCCUGAUCCAGCCAUGCCGCGUGGAUGAUGAAGGCCUUAGGGUUGUAAAGCCCUUUUAACGGGGAAGAUAAUGACGGUACCCGUAGAAUAAGCCCCGGCUAACUUCGUGCCAGCCGCCGCAGUAAAAC
rnacentral:rRNA from 1 species